rnacentral:lncRNA from 1 species
UUUUUUCUUAUAAGUGUAGAGUGUCUUCAACUGUUUGUUGUGAGAGGGGUGCACCUCGAAAUACAGAAUUUGAAUGCUUACUUGUUGGCAGUGAAAAUUCAAUUUGCUUCAACUGCAUUAAACAAUUGCUUAUAUUCUACUUAGUUGCUUGUUCACUAGGGAAGGUUUAUGAAAUCCAGUGUUGGUUUCUUAAGAGGUUUUUUGUUUGGAGGCUUUUAUAUGAAGAUAACCCAAUAAUACCAUGUAAGUUAUAUUCAAAACCUCCUGAAGGCCUUUUUCUUUUGGUGAAGACACAGUUCUUAGUAAGUGGCUAGCAGAACUAUUAAAAAUACAUGUUAUAACUCAAUAUUUCAGAAUAACUCUGUGUGGAGACCAUCUUUAGGCAACUAAGUGGUCUGGUUUUCAAGUAUUCUGAACCCUGCAGAAGGCAUACAGAAACAUGCAAUUUAGGUUGGAAGAGACCUCUGAAGGUCACCUGGUCCAAGCCUCUGCUCAGAGCUUUUUGGAAGUUAGUUAGUUUAGCUUAGGUACCUCAGGGCCUUGUCCUGUCACACAAUCUUAGCAAAACUGGAUUUACUUUGACAUAUGUUGACAUUUAUGUGAGCUUCCUGAGUAUGUUUUGUAGGCAGCUGCGUACAGCAAUUACUGAGAUCAAUAAGGGAUUUAAAAGAUUGCCAUAAUACUCUGGAAACUGGAUAUUGCUUAGGGAUCUGUUGGCUUAAGGAAUGUUACAAGCUGUUCAUUACAGGCUGACCUCUAAGAGUUGGGGUUUUCUUCAGAAUAUAAAUCUAAUGCUUUCUCAUUGCAAAACAAUUCAUAGCAUCUUAUGGAGAGUCAAUGUCCACAUGUUCAUUUUAUUUAAUUUUGUGUUGUUUUUUUUUUUCCCCCCAGGACUUGCUUCCUUGCUUUCUGCACAUUCAGUGCUGCUGGGAUAUUCUCAGCAUUUAAAGGUAAUGAUAUGUACUGAAAUUCACAUUUUUCUCCUUUACAGUCAAGAAAUUUGGAUUGGAAAUACUGUCAACCUGACUGCAAAGGAAAGGAUUUCAGUCAAGGGAAAUCUUGAGACAGCAAUAGAACUUAUUAUUUUAUGCAAAAUUUAGUGUUUGGGGGGUGGAGAGGAACACUUUU